AACGAACGCUGGCGGCAUGCCUAACACAUGCAAGUCGAACGAGACCUUCGGGUCUAGUGGCGCACGGGUGCGUAACCCGUGGGAACCUGCCCUUAGGGUCGGAAUAACUCUCAGAAAGGGGUGCUAUUACCGGACAAUGUCUACGGCCCAAAGAUUUAUCGCCUUUGGAUGGGCCCGCGUUGGAGUAGCUAGUUCGUAGGUUAAAGGCCUACCAAGGCGACAUUCCAUAGCUGGUCUGAGAGGAUGAUCAGCCACACUGGGACUGGGACACGGCCCAGACUCCUACGGGAGGCAGCAGUGGGGAAUAAUGGACAAUGGGCGAAAGCCUGAUCCAGCAAUGCCGCGUGAGUGUGGAAGGCCUUAGGGUUGUAAAGCUCUGUUACCCGGGAAGAUAAUGACAGUACCGGGAGAAAAAGCUACGGCUAACUCCGUG
rnacentral:rRNA from 1 species